rnacentral:lncRNA from 1 species
UACUAAUGUAUUGGGACUUAGAUAAUGCUGGGGAAAUACAGGGUGUUACAUAAAAUAACCAACAUGUUAUCAUUUGUGGUUCUCACAGUUUUGCUCAUUUCACCCAUGAACACAUCCUUGUUUCAUGAGAGUGUAGAGAAUAGGUAUUUACUAACAUUAUCCUUUAAGCAUCUUUUACUUCACCCUCACAUUGGUGAUUUCUAAAUGUUUAAUCUUUAGGUCAAACUAUUUGGUCAAACUUGCCAAACUUAGAAAC